AAAAGCGCAAGAAUACUGUCGAAGUACAGGUUGCACAAGCUCACUACAAAAACUGUCACAUAAAAGAAAGCUUUCCUUAAAACUGUUCUCAAUCUCUAAGUGACUAGGAAACCAAAUGGAUAAGAUUCCAAAUUAACUUGCAGCAUAUUGAUAACAAAAUUGAUAAUUUAAUAUGAAAAUUUUAGGCUGGAUUCUCUUUCUUCAGCUUGGCCAGCUCUUGCCUGAUCAAUCCACCCCUCUU
rnacentral:misc_RNA from 1 species